AAGUCGUAACAAGGUUUCCGUAGGUGAACCUGCGGAAGGAUCAUUAACACAUCCUUUUCAAUAUCAUGCCUUGUCGCACUGGGAACCAUCCUGGGGAAAUGCCGCGUUGAGCAAGGAUUGAACUAUGACAGGAUCAUAGCAUGGCUCAUCAGGAUGGCAGACGGCUUUCGGGUCGACUCUGCAAGUUUCUUCACGGUGGCACACAGCGUCAAUUCCUCGCUGGACCUUUUUUUUAAACCUUGAAUUUUGUAUUGAACUGGUUGGGAUCGAGAAGGGCUCUUGUAGUCUGCCUCUCUCAGCUUUUUGAUGGAGAAAUCCAUUAAAUAAACUAAAACACAACUCUUAACAGCGGAUAUCUCGGUUCUC
rnacentral:misc_RNA from 1 species